rnacentral:rRNA from 1 species
AGUGAACGCUGGCGGUAGGCCUAACACAUGCAAGUCGAACGGCAGCACAGUAAGAGCUUGCUCUUACGGGUGGCGAGUGGCGGACGGGUGAGGAAUACAUCGGCAUCUACUUUUUCGUGGGGGAUAACGUAGGGACACUUACGCUAAUACCGCAUACGACCUACGGGUGAAAGCAGGGGAUCUUCGCACCUUGCGCGACUGAAUGAGCCGAUGUCGGAUUAGCUAGUUGGCGGGGUAAAGGCCCACCAAGGCGACGAUCCGUAGCUGGUCUGAGAGGAUGAUCGGCCACACUGGAACUGAGACACGGUCCAGACUCCUACGGGAGGCGGCAGUAGGGAAUAUUGGACAAUGGGCGCAAGCCUGAUCCAGCCAUGCCGCGUGGGUGAAGAAGGCCUUCGGGUUGUAAAGCCCUUUUGUUGGGAAAGAAAAGCAGCAGGUUAAUACCCCGCUGUUCUGACGGUACCCAAUGAAUAAGCACCGGCUAACUUCGUG